CGGUAAACAAAGGGAAAGCUAGCCGGUGACGGUGCGCGAAUCCCAAAAAUAACGUCUCAGUUCGGAUUGUAGUCUGCAACUCGACUACAUGAAGCUGGAAUCGCUAGUAAUCGCGGAUCAGAAUGCCGCGGUGAAUACGUUCCCGGGUCUUGUACACACCGCCCGUCACACCAUGGGAGUCGGAAAUGCCCGAAGUCUGUGACCGAACCGAAAGGAAGGAGCAGCCGAAGGCAGGUCGGAUGACUGGGGUGAAGUCGUAACAAGGUACC
rnacentral:rRNA from 1 species